UCCUUGUAAAUAUAUCGAGAGUUUUCUUCUUUGUGUAUUUUUUUUUUUGCAAUUAUUAAUUUCUUCUUUACUUUCUCUGCUUUUCAUCAGAUUGUCUCUACUGUUUCCUAUUUAUUUAAAUCAAAGUGUAAUAUUCAAAAAUGGUUCCGCAAUACAAAUAUUAUUUUACUUGGAAAACAGCAAGUAAGUUAAGUGCACAAGCAAACAAUUUUUCAGAAUUCGGCUCUGGUCUGGAAACAUCACUAUGGUAACGUCACGUGAAUGGUCGAUAUUCGGUCGCAUUUUAUGUCUAUGUCGGAGCUCUUUUCUCGUCUCGUCAUUCUUAUUAUAUCCGUCGAACCCCCAAAGGCAACAUUUUAGUCGAGAUCGAAUUAAAUUCCAUCUAAUAUUUUGCGUUCAAUUUUUCAUUCAAUUUCAUAAAGUUAACCAGUUAUAAUGUGUCUCAUUCUGCAUUUUCAUUUAAUCUAUUUAAAUUUAUACCACUUCAUAAUAAAAUAGUUUAUUCUAGCUUUUAUGUAGGCGAGAGUUUUAUUUAUCACAUGUAAUAGACCUGCCAAUAAAAUCAAUGACAUUUCGUGGAAUAUCCAUAAGAAUAAGAUUUCUGAGUUGACUUUGAAAUGGAAAAUCGAUAAGAAUUACCUUAAACGGUACCGAAAGUACCAACACCGAUAUGAAUUUUAAAUUGUUAAUGGACGUUCCCUUAUGACAAACACUGUCGAUCAGUACAAUAUAGCCACAUCUAGAUCUGCAGUGAACAAUACUAUGCGUGAUGCACGUGGGUCCAACCUAAUUACUCCCACAAAAUUUGGCGUCAUGGUUUGCGACAACAAUUUCCCUUUCCGUGCUUAACGACAAAAACUUCAUAAGGAAAACGAAAAAAUUCUCGUUGGACGAGAUGUACUACCAGAAAGACCUCUUGAAAACUGUGUUUAUUUCGUAACGUAUUUAUGAACAUAGGGUGGGAGGUACGCUAAGACACUAUAUAUCAGUUUUAAGCAGAUUCAGUGUUGAACAUAAAAAGCCUUACAUUUUCUCGUCGAAGUUACGGUUUACCUUUAGGAUGGGUUUUAUGAACCAAAAGGACCGGGAGGAAUUCUUUGGAUCUGUAUUUGGGUUCCUAUUAACAGUGUAGUACCAAAAUUUCCAACUAUUAUUUUUUUUCCUUCUCUUCAUAGUUGUUACAACUGAUUUGCUCAGAUUAACUUCCCGGUCAUAGCGGAUUAAGCAGCGUGUGUCACUUCUUUUCUAAAAUAAGUUAGUAAUGAAAGUUCCAUAUAGACAUUUGCAUAAAAAUGUCGGGAUAUAAAACAUAUUUACACGCUUAAUAACUGAUAUUUUGGAUUAAUUUGGGAUAAUUUUGUAUAUCAGAAAAAUCGCUGGUUUAUAAAAGAUAUUUGUUUCGGAACUAUUAACCAGUUUUGUCUAUAAUUAAUGGUAUUAGGUCACGAACCUAUAUAAAACACAAAUUAAAUGGUAAUUAUGUACUUUUAAAAGCUUGAAACAAGACCAUAGCACAAUUAAAAAAUAUAUGUCUAUCGUUUCAUUUAAUUGUAACUUUUUAGACAAAAAUAACAUAAGAAUCAAUUUGCAUAUUUUAGAUUCAUUAGAAGGCAACUGAGAGGUGGAUAAUAAGGAAUAUUGCUCGUGGUACAAAUUGCAAAGGCCAAAUUAAUACUCAACGCUAUUAAGAGCGAAAAUCGCAAUUUUAGUACUAGUAGAUUUGUUUUUCUGUAUUAUGAAGCCAUCUGAAGCUUACUUGUCCAAAGUGGUAAAAACUGAGUAUUUCGAAUAUGACUUGAGCAAUAUAUUAAGAUCUUUUCAAUAAUUUUUGUAGCAAACUGUUACUAUUACUAUUAGUUUUGAAAAUGGCAUUCUUAAUAAUAAAAUAAUAAAUUCUGCGUAAAAAAUUACAUCGGAAAUGAUUUCAUAAAAACACAAAUUUUACAUAGCAAAAAAGUUACUGAGAUUUUUUCAAAUAUAAUCUCGAAACAUCAUUAGGUUUUUAAGAUAGAGUGUCCAAUUUGACCUACUCUGUACAUUGUGUGUAAACAGUAAAUAAAAUUUUCCUGGGUAUUCAGUCAAAUAAAACUUUUUUAUCUUCAAAGAUAUAUUUAGAAUUUUUUCUACUCCCGUCUGUAAAAUACCUAAUUAUGCACCGAUCUAGCGUGCGAAAAGCAUCACUUUACCACGUCAGUUCCGUUUCCCACGAAUCCGAGCCACUUCGGGCAUUUCCGGGAUUUUAACCGCACGGAUUUGGAAGCAAUCGGAUAUUUUCGGAGAUAUUUCCCACGCUUUGAAUUUUGAUGUUUGUCAAUUCUGACAGUCAUGUCAGUGAAUGUAUUCUUGUUUUGCGAAAAUGUACGCAAAAACUAACGGUCGUAGAAAAAGUAUAGUAUGCAACACGUUCGGUAAACUUUUUAACUCACUCGUUUAUUAAAAUACGCUCCGCUCGUGUCAAAUAAACUCGUGAGUCAAAUGCCGUUUACGGCACUUGUUGCAUAAUAUACUAUUGUAGUUUGCCAAUUUUGACGGUCAUAUCAAUGAAUGUAUUCGUGUUGUUGUGCACAAAUGUUCCAUAACUAACGAACUAACGCAUUUGAUGAACUUUAAGUCAAUUAAAUGCCGUUUACCACACUUGCAUAAUAUACUAUUAAAAAACAAAUAUAUAAAAGGCAGAUGUCGGCCGAACACCAGGUCGCACUACAUUAAGAGCUCCAUGUUGGUCUGAGUUUACUUUAAUUUUACUUUGUAAUUUAACAAACCAUAAUGUAAUCUUUGUCCGUUGUCUGUCUUUUAAAUAAUAUUCUACAUGAAGUAAAUUAUUUUUUAAACUAACUUCCUUUAUAUGCAGUAUAACGUACCUAUAAAAAAGUUUUAUCUGACCGAGUAUCCAGAAAAUUUUUAUUUCGAUUGAUUGUGUAUGAAUAGUACUCACGAGGGGGUCUAUAUCUAGUAUCCAAAACGUUAUCGCUCCUAGUCCUCGGUCGAGGAGGCAGGGCGGGUGGUAUUGGCGACACUUCAAUCCCAUCUUUGUCCAACUUUCUUAGCUGAGAAGUAUGUUCGUUGAUAUCAUCGGUUUCAUUUUCACUCUGAGAAUAAAACUUGCCAUUCAAAAAAGCUUGAGUUUGUUGCUGGGUCAAAUUUAUUAUUAUUAUAUUAAAAAAUAAUUAUUUUACGACCGCCGGCAGAAAACAUACAGCUAUUUAAAUUGUUUAAAAAGUAAUAUAACAAUAAGAGUUUAAAUUAUUUGAUUUUUUUUCAAAGAAACUUCCACAGGCUACUGUACUGUACUGGUUGUUGUUGAGUUGAACUUGCUAACGUUUGGCGAAUCAUCUUAUUGGCUUCUUCAGAGCUUAAUUGAAACUGUUUAAAGAAAGAAAUUACCUCGCGACAACAGGCGCGUGUAUAUGUACUGCUGACAAGAUCAUCACUAGUUUUGCUGGACUGAUAAUGACGAUCAUCCUUUGAAAGCUCCGGUGACGGCGAUGCCAUUUCGGGUCUCUGCAACUUAGCGGGAGCAAUAAUUAACCAGAAAAUGAGAUGAGUACACAACACACAUUCCGUUUUCCAUGAAAGUUCGACACUUGUUCAUACCUACUUACAACUGGCAUCACAUCAGACACGAAUACCAGAAUACCGCGAAGAAAUUGUUAAGUUCCCGUGAGAAGAAGUAACAGCGUUUAAAAAAGACGGAUGGAAUUACGUGCGUUCUUUAUCUAACCUGAGGAUGGAGUAUGAAAAGUCAGAGUCGGAUACCGCCUAAGCCGGUACCUGCAGCAAAAACCUUGAUGGAGAGAUGGAGGUUCAUUAUUCCAUGUACUUGAAGAACCAUUAUUGCAAUAAAUCGCCAAAGUCAUGGGAGGGCCUUCUGUAGGAGCAUGGUGGGUGUGAUGAGGAGGUAAAUAGUUGUGAGGAGUUGACAACGAG